AUGUGUUCGUCCGCGUCCCGUAGUAGUUCAACACCACCUACGUCUCACCACACGAGCAAUCAGAUGCCUCCACUCCCUCUCAUCCGUUGCCCCGAAUGCAACGCCGGCUACGUCGUCUGGUUUGUCUCCGGUACAGAACUUAACCCAGGGAGGCACUUCUACAAGUGUGAACGGAAUGAGCACGGAGGUUGCAGGUUCUGGAAGUGGGAGAACAAGUACAUACAGUACUUGAGCGAGCGAUGGGGACAUCUGAUCUCGCACGCGAGCGUCCAUCGCCAUGUCGCACUGCUCGAGCAGAACCAAGCAUUCUUGAAGAAGAUUUUCAUGUUGUGCCUCGCGAAUUUGGUGGUCAUGGUCACUAUCUCCAUCCACAAGUUAUGA
rnacentral:rRNA from 1 species